AGAAUCAACGCUGGCGGCGUGCCUAACACAUGCAAGUCGCACGAGAAAGUGGAGCAAUCCAUGAGUAAAGUGGCGCACGGGUGAGUAACACGUGAAUCAUCUACCUCCGAGUGGGGAAUAACCUAGAGAAAUCUGGGCUAAUACCGCAUAACACUUACGAGUCAAAGCAGCAAUGCGCUUGGAGAGGAGUUCGCGGCCGAUUAGUUAGUUGGCGGGGUAAUGGCCCACCAAGACGAUGAUCGGU
rnacentral:rRNA from 1 species